rnacentral:tRNA from 1 species
GGCAAGGUGGCCGAGUGGUCUAAGGCGCUGCUUUCAAGAUCAAGUGAUCUUCCUCAAUACAGGUCCAGCAGUGGGGAAACUCUCGCGUGUUCGAAUCACGUCCUUGUCA